UCUUUGGAAAAAAAUUUUAAAUUCAUUAUGCCUGAUUAUUCCCUUUUUCCCUUUCUCUCUAGGUUCAAUUUCACGGCACUCCAGCCUCAAGGACUGUGAUUUAUUCAAUGUAGGGUGAACAUCUCCAUAUGCAGUAUGCAGCAUUGAAUAGUGAAACAAAUGUGGGCUUCGGGGUCAGACAUUUCUGGAUGAGGAUCCUGAUUUCAUGUACUAGCUCUUUCAUCUUAGGAAAAGCCUUGUACUUCUCUGGGCCAUAGAAGAUGUAAAAUAGGAAAUUUUACCUAUCCCAAAACGUUGAGGGUUUUAUAUCUCAAAGUGCCUACCCAAACUUGAUGCUUAGUAAUACAUGUUACUUCUGCUCUCAGCCUCAUCCUUACUUGGAAAUCAUGUGCGGAGGCUAAAAGACAGUGCAAUAGCCAUUGGAACCAUUGGUGAUUUUUAUUUGAUGUAUUUUUCCAGUUCUCUCUCUAGGAAUACAGUAUUAGAUUGCUCUUUCCUACCUCUGAAAGUUUGUCUUCUCCACGUGACUGGUAGAGACCUAUAAAUUAUCAAUGGAAGCUUUCUACCAUAUUCACCACAUCUGCCUCCCUUCAUGGCCAUGACCUCCAAGUGUGUAUCAAAUUGGAGUCUGUGUCAGUGGGUACUUGAAUAACUGCAGGAGGCAGGAUCUCUCAAUGAGCUGGAUUGACAUGAGGCAUGAAUAAGAAUAACGGUGGUGCUGGCAUAAUUCACUGACAUUUUAUUUAAUCACAGUAUAACUUAAAUAUCCUGACUGAUACAGGCAACAUCUACCAUGACUUUCCCUUCCAUUUCAUUUUUCACCGAAGAGGCUGGUAUUAAUGACUCAUUCCUGUUUUCUGAGCGGCCCAGAGGAGCAUGGAAGCAAUCUGAUCAUAAACUUGGAGCAAACCUCUCUUGACAGAUAAACUCUCUUGGCAGCAUAUUUAUUUCAGGGAUGCUCAUCUCUGGCCUGCAUAGUGGAAUUGCACAAGUAAUGCAGAACCACUUGAUAUGCCCUAGGGAAAUGCAAGACUGAGAUUCAGCCCUACGACAAGAGGCACAGCUGCCACAGAAACACAUUGCCCACUGGUGUGGGGACAAGAAAUGAGAUAGUGUGUUGGUCCAAGAAUUCCUGCCAAUGUGGUAAUGAAGAAAUGACCUGGACACCCCUCAGCUAAUCUCAAGAGCAGCCUACCACCAUGACAAAGGCUGUCGGGAUCCCUGCAUUAGAUCCCCUUGCCACUACACAGAAGACUCGAACACAUGCUCUCCCUUUCCUUGCCCUGAAGUGUCCCCCUAGAACCUGCUAUGGCACGCAAGAAAAAAUACAGUCUGCAGAGUCUACUUCCGAUAUCACAAACAAGGAGAAGCAGAGGGAGUAUGGAACUGAGAAUCAGUAAAUUAAUAAACCUCAGAGUCCAUCCUUUGGUUGACUCAGCAUCCAUGAGUACUGUUCUACACAUGCUUUCUAUUUAAAAAAAAAUCAAUGUUUUUACUUUACAAGAGGCAGCUAACCUCUAUAGAAGUGUCCAGGCUCACACAUUCUCCCCCAAAUGAGAAAACACAUAUUCCAGACAGUCAUUGUAUUAAUUGCUGUCUAUAUUAUCUACUUCUCAGAAUUAAUCACAGUGCCAAUAAAUAUUCUGGUAUUAAAUAAUAAUGUGAAAUUUAACCUGUAGAAAACUUGUGAUAUGGUUGCUGCUGUGUCCCCACCCAAAUCUUAUCUCGAAUUGUAAUCCCCAUGUGUCAAGGGAGGGACCUGGUGAGGGGUGGUUAAAUCAUGAGGGUUGUUUUCCUCCAUGAUGUUCUCAUGAUAUGAGGGAGUUCUCAUGGGAUCUGAUGGUUUAAAAGUGGCAAUUUCCCCUGGGCUCUCUCUCUCUCUCUCUCUCCUGUUGCCUUGUGAAGAAGGUACCUGCUUCCCCUUCGCCUUCCACCAUGAUUGCAAGUUUCAUGAGGCCUUCAGAGCCAUGAGGAACUGUGAGUCGA